UUAACAGCUACGGCGGUACAUAUUCUAAACUUGGAACGAUACAGUGAAGGUUAGCAUGCCCUCUACGUAAGGGUGACACGCAAAUUCGGAAACGUUCCAUAUUUUU